rnacentral:lncRNA from 10 species
UGCAGUGGUGUGAUCACUGCUCACUGCAGUCUUGACCUCCCAGGCUCAAUGGUCCUCCUGCCUCUCAGCCUCCUGAGUAGCUGAGGCUACAGGCUCACACACCACCCCACUAAUUACUGUAUUUUUUGCAGAGAUGAUGUUUUGCCAUGUUGCCCACCCUGGUCUCGAACUCCUGGACUGAAAUGAUCUGCCCACCUCAGCCUCCCAAAGUGCUGGGAUUGCAGGUGUGAGCCAUUGCAUCCAGCCAGGUGCAUCUUAAUUUUUUCAAGGGUUAGUUUCAGGCUUUUUAAAGGUACAUUAUUUCAGCUUUCCUCUUACACCUAGAAGAGACAUGACCCUUACUCCUAGGAACUAGGUCUGACCCUUACUCCUAGGAACUAGGUCUUACCCUUACAAUGUGUUUCUACUGGAAUCUCUAGCUAAAUCUCACUAUUCAUCAAAUUGUCUCCACUACAGCUGGAACCAGUGUCAUCUUCUAUCUAUCUUCCUAAUACUGUGUAGCCUCUGUGAUUUCUUCCAUGAUCUCCAGCUUCUAGCUGCUAUUCUAUGCUUGGCCUUCUAGAAUCUCUUCUUAUGUAUACAAAUCUCAGCAGUUGGCCAAAAACCCAAGAAAAAUUUUGGGGACACUUUAUGGCUCCUUCUUUGUGGAAUCCUGCCUCUUGAUUCAACCAUGUCAACCCCGUUAAGCUCUAAUCUCUGUCUCCCCUGCCUAGUGAAAUUGACAUUCAUCUUGGGUUCUAUGUAGCAGCUUAGUAAUUGGUAAAUGCUCUUGGGGGAAAGCUAUGUGUGAUCUUAACUUUCUGUGUUUCCUGCUUUCAAAGACCGUAAUCCACAUUGGUUGCCUUCCAAUGCCUGCAGUCAUUGUACAUAUUUUAGCUGUUAUAUCAUUAAGGAAAAUCUUAUAUCCAAGCCAUUUACUUUAACUGACACUAUUUAAAAUCUUAAUCUAAUAUGGUUUGAAAAAAUAUGGUGUUUGCAUGUUCUCACUCAUAAGUGGGAGUUGAACAAUGAGAACACAUGGACACAGGGUGGGGAACAUCACACACCAGAGCCUGUCAGGGGGUCAGGGACUAGGGGA